AAAUAAGUGUUCUUCCGUGCAAUUUAAAACAGACCACUUUCCCCCAGCCAUAUAAAGAAACAGCAUGAACAAGGGAAGCAGAAUCUGUGAGAACAUGACACAAGUUGUCGAUCACAAAAGAGCAAAAGCAGUAACCUCAGUGAGAAGGAAAACCCCAUGUGCACAAUAGCAGACUUCUUCCUCAUAUAAUUCAUGGGAAGAGAAACACCUUGUGCUCCAUUAGAAGGAAGACCAUUGUCCAAAGAAUGAGACAAUUUAUCAGCUCCACUUCCAUCAGAGAGUGAAAUGUCAAGAUCAACAACCCCACAGAACUGCAUCACAGAAUAAGUUAAAUGAUAACCUGAUUGAACCUUUUUGAGAGGGAGAUGCGGGUUUCUGGAUGCUUUUCAAUCUCCAUUAACAUCAUGUUAAGCAAGUAGAAAGGGAAUAGACACAGCAUUUUAUAAUGGUGCUAAAAAAUGAAUUCAGUGCCUAAGCUACAAAUAUGCUUCUUCAAUGUGCAUUUGAAAGACAUGGAGGAACUGCUACAUUCACACUA